AAGUGCGACCGGACUCAGAUGAAAAAUAUAAUUCGUGGUGGCCCAACGGCGGUACUACACUUCUGUUUGGUUGCCCAGGCCCGGAAAGCACCUUUUUGUCAUUGACUUAGGCAUGGGGAAAGAGUGGUGUGUAAACCAUUGAGAUUAAAUAA